rnacentral:rRNA from 1 species
AUUGAACGCUGGCGGCAUGCCUUACACAUGCAAGUCGAACGGUAACGCGGGGCAACCUGGCGACGAGUGGCGAACGGGUGAGUAAUGCAUCGGAACGUGCCUGGUAGUGGGGGAUAACUGCCCGAAAGAGCAGCUAAUACCGUAUACGACCAGAGGGUGAAAGGGGGGGAUCGCAAGAACUCUCGACAUCAGAGCGGCCGAUGUCGGAUUAGCUAGUUGGUGGGGUAAAAGCCCACCAAGGCGACGAUCCGUAGCUGGUCUGAGAGGACGACCAGCCACACUGGGACUGAGACACGGCCCAGACUCCUACGGGAGGCAGCAGUGUGGAAUUUUGGACAAUGGACGCAAGUCUGAUCCAGCCAUGCCGCGUGCGGGAAGAAGGCCUUCGGGUUGUAAACCGCUUUUGUCAGGGAAGAAAUCUUCUGGGUUAAUACCCUGGGAGGAUGACGGUACCUGAAGAAUAAGCACCGGCUAACUACGUGCCAGCCGCCGCAGUAACAC